GCAACAGCAGAGCGGGGAAAAAUUGCUUGGGUGAUAUUCUUUCUAUAGGUGAAAACGCCCCUAUGUAAAGCAAGGCCAAAGUACUAAGAAGUGUUUCAUGGAGCCAGCCACUGUCCAAGUUCCUUAUUCAGGGAGAAGAAGCUGAAUCAGCCGUUGUACAUACCCUGCUGCUAGUCUGCCUCUGCAGCCUGGAAAGGACCCCUCCUGCUACCAAGAAAACCCAAAUACUGUGCCCUUGACUUGGUAACAGAAAAAAAAUAGUGUCAGACACCCCUCAUUAGAAGAGUCUAUCAUUAUCUCUGACUAAAGGAACCUGCCUCCAGCUUCAUGAAUCUGUUGGUUCAAGACAAAAAAGGAUGAGUCUUGUGUUUGCUGUGCCAUACUCUGCAUUCUCCUUCUUUUCUUUAUAUCCAUGACAAUUCAUCUGGGACUGUUCCUGUUCCCUUUAGUGGCUGCAGACGAAUUCUGAAGUUACCUUUUUCCACUAGAUAUCCACCAAGUUCUGAGACAGGAACUCCUGCGGCUGAGCUGUGGGUAAACUGCAUUGAUUGCAACUUCUGUAAUCCGACUUGGUCCACCCCUGUCAUCUUGAUAAGUCAAACUCCUUUUGCCACUUCUUUUGUUGAUGUUACGAGCCUGGUUUUUUAAAGUUGUGGGGGAAAAAAAAGGUACUAUUUUUCAGCCUGUGAAUGACAGAUUUUUCACAGGGAUUUGCCUUUAACUUCUUUCAUGCUCUCCUGAAAUUAAUUUUUCUCAGUCUGAUGUUUCUAAAUUGCCUCUCUUCUAGUUCUUACAUUGUGCUUCUCUUUUGCUGAUGUGCUGAAGUGCACAAUUUGAACUUUUUUGUUUUGGUUUUGUUUUUCAAAACUUCAAGGAAAAGAAUAAUCUCCUCUAGUUGUCGAAGUUUACAUCAGGAGGAAGCAAACUGUACCCUAGGUCUGCUCCAUUCAUUAUAACCUUGGCAUUUUGAAUAUUAAAACCAAGAUAAGUAAAUUGACCAUAGUAUUUUUGACAUAACAUUAACGUAAGAGUGAAGAAGGUUAUUCCUCAGGUUUGUUCUACAGAUUUAUGUUUCAGGAAUUUGCAAUGGGUUCAUGUUGAUUUUACCCGAAAGUCUCCACAGAAAUCUUU